ensembl:misc_RNA Metazoa_SRP Metazoan signal recognition particle RNA
GCUGGGCGUGGAGGCACACACCUGUAAUCCCAGCAACUCAGGAGGCUGAGGUGGGAGGAUUGCUUGAGCCCAGGAGUUCAAGGCUGCAGUGAGCAAUGAUCAUGCCACUGUACUCCAGCCUGAACAACAAAGCAAGUCUCCGUCUCUU